GACGAAGGUGGCGACCGUUGUUCGGAAUCACUGGGCAUAAAGAGCUCGUAGGCGGUGAGAAAAGUCGGGUGUGAAAUCCCUCGGCCCAACCGAGGAACUGCGCUCGAAACUGUCUUGCUUGAGGACCGAAGGGGACCACGGAAUUCCUGGUGGAGCGGUGAAAUGCGUUGAUAUCAGGAGGAACACCGGCGGCGAAGGCGGUGGUCUGGUCGGUUUCUGACGCUGAGGAGCGAAAGCUAGGGGAGCAAACGGG
rnacentral:rRNA from 1 species